AUUGAACGCUGGCGGCAUGCCUUACACAUGCAAGUCGAACGGUAACAGGUCUUCGGAUGCUGACGAGUGGCGAACGGGUGAGUAAUACAUCGGAACGUGCCUAGUAGUGGGGGAUAACUACUCGAAAGAGUGGCUAAUACCGCAUGAGAUCUACGGAUGAAAGCAGGGGAUCGCAAGACCUUGUGCUACUAGAGCGGCCGAUGGCAGAUUAGGUAGUUGGUGGGAUAAAAGCUUACCAAGCCGACGAUCUGUAGCUGGUCUGAGAGGACGAUCAGCAACACUGGGACUGAGACACGGCCCAGACUCCUACGGGAGGCAGCAGUGAGGAAUUUUGGACAAUGGGCGAAAGCCUGAUCCAGCAAUGCCGCGUGCAGGAUGAAGGCCUUCGGGUUGUAAACUGCUUUUGUACGGAACGAAAAGCCCCGGGUUAAUACCCUGGGGUCAUGACGGUAUCCGGAGAAGAAGCCCCGGCUAACUUCGUGCCAGCCGCCGCCGUAA
rnacentral:rRNA from 1 species